AUCUUGCCAUUUGUGUUCAGGGUCGAGGCUUAUACGAAGGGAAGACGAGGGAAGGACGAUGGAUGCGAACACGUCCACGGACGCAUCGCCCCAGCCCCGAGCUGGGUCGGCCCGCCGCUGGCAUCGCGGCAAAGGGGCAAGGCCAGGCCAGGCCCGCAGACGGUGCCUCCUAACUUCGCUGUUGACCCCAAGCACAGACUGUCCUACAAACGGGGCAGAAAGGAUGACUUGGGUUCCUAGUCAUUAGAAGUUUUUUGAGGUUUCUGUUUAAAAUUUUAAAAGAGAUUUAGAAACACUAGGCAUAUUUUGGUGGGAAAGUAGAUGAAAGACAGCUUUUUCUUUCUGCGUGAAAACCAAAAUAUAAAGAUAUGGCUUAUACUAGGUGAGCGUUCCCACCUAUAAGGGUCAAAUUCAGAAUAAAAUUGAAGAGUGUUUGAAAAUCAACUCAAUGCCAAGUAUGGAGGAUGCAAAGACGAAUUGGACAAAGUCUGUUUUCAUAAGUUUACAAUUCAGUAAGGAAAAAAGAGAACAGGACUUGUGGAGAGAACGUAUUUCAAGAAGAGUGAAUGCAAUAUGUAGUCUGGUUUGGCAAGAAAAUAAUGCUGCUGUAGAAGGGCAUGAUGAGUGAUAAGCUCCAUGGGUGCGGUUAAAGAUGUUGUGAAAGGCCUCACAUUCUCAGCUGGUUUUGAACACAAUUGAACAGAACCUUUGUAAGUGUGAAUUUGUGGUACUGGAGAAAUUGACUCUCCACAUAGGAAAAAAUUAAAGUAUUACCUGGCAAAAAUACAAAAAUAAACUCCAGCACAAGAAGACAGGGGAAGACGGUAUUGAACUGAGCAGCAGGAAAGCCAGUCUGCAAUUGAAACGUUUAAAGAAAACACUGGCGUUUUUGUAAUGGACAACUAGAUGCGAUACUUUUUUCUUAACCUCUUCUGUAAGGAAAAGCAGUUUUUGAAAAAGAAUGCCUAAUAUUCAUGCUUAAAAAUGAAAAACAAACAGCUAUAGUUUGUGUGAAAGAUCUUUAUUUUGUUUUGAACAAUAUUAAAACAAAUAAAUUAUCGGGCAGUUCAGUAACACAAUGAGCACACGUUAGAGUUAAUCUUUUAAAAGGCACCUCUGGUGCAAUUACAGUAAAGUAAUAGAGACAAUUCAAUAGUUAUUUAUCUUGCCACCUUAUAAAACUGCCUGUUCAUUUUACAUUGUUCUUUUAAUGUUCUUCAGUGAAUCGCUGCAUUUCAUAAAAAAUUCAAAGUCCUAUCAUGAAAUGUACUUCUACUGAUUGACUUAUUUUAAUUCUAUUUACUGUCAGUAACAUCAUCAAUGAAUCAUAUUUAAAAGACAUUUAAAAAUACUAUCCUUUAUUCUUGUGCUAAAGUAAUCAUUCCUUCACAGAGUCAGAAGAAAGUGUUUUAAGCACCCAAAUGUGAAUGAAGUGGAACUUUGUGAUGUAAACCUUCUCGGAAUAAAAAUUCAUGCAGAAGAGUGGUUGCCAGUUUGGGAACUCACACUCUACUGUCAACACUUGAAAAAUCCCAAGUAAUAUUAGAUAUUCACCUGAGAUAAGACUCUGCAAGAUAGGUAAAAAACAUCAAAUCGGGCUUCCUUGGUGGUGCAGUGGUUGAGAAUCCGCCUGCCAAUUCAGGGGACAUGGGUUCAAUCCCUGGUCCGGGAAGAUCCCACAUGCUG